rnacentral:tRNA from 1 species
CCUUUGGUGUAAUGGUCAGCACACUGAGCCGGUAUUUCAGAGGUCCGCGGUUCGAUCCCCGGCGAAGGA